rnacentral:rRNA from 1 species
UUAACCUACGGGGGGCAGCAGUGGGGAAUAUUGCACAAUGGGGGAAACCCUGAUGCAGCGACGCCGCGUGAGUGAAGAAGAAUUUCGGUAUGUAAAGCUCUAUCAGCAGGGAAGAAGAAAGACGGUACCUGACUAAGAAGCCCCGGCUAACUACGUGCCAGGAGCCGCGGUAAUACGUAGGGGGCAAGCGUUAUCCGGAUUUACUGGGUGUAAAGGGAGCGUAGGCGGCGAUGCAAGUCAGAAGUGAAAGCCCGGGGCUCAACUCCGGGACUGCUUUUGAAACUGUAUGGCUAGAUUGCAGGAGG